rnacentral:rRNA from 1 species
UGGGGAAUUUUGGACAAUGGGCGCAAGCCUGAUCCAGCCAUGCCGCGUGAGUGAAGAAGGCCUUCGGGUUGUAAAGCUCUUUCGGUUGGGAAGAAAUUGCUUGGGUUAAUACCUCAGGUAGAUGACGGUACCAGCAUAAGAAGCACCGGCUAACUACGUGCCAGCAGCCGCGGUAAUACGUAGGGUGCGAGCGUUAAUCGGAAUUACUGGGCGUAAAGCGUGCGCAGGCGGUUGUAUAAGUCAGAUGUGAAAUCCCCGGGCUCAACCUGGGAACUGCAUUUGAGACUGUACGGCUAGAGUGUGGCAGAGGGGGGUAGAAUUCCACGUGUAGCAGUGAAAUGCGUAGAGAUGUGGAGGAAUACCGAUGGCGAAGGCAGCCCCCUGGGCCAAUACUGACGCUCAUGCACGAAAGCGUGGGGAGCAAACA